rnacentral:rRNA from 1 species
UACGAAGGGGGCUAGCGUUGUUCGGAAUUACUGGGCGUAAAGCGCACGCAGGCGGAUUGAUAAGCCAGGGGUGAAAUCCCGGGGCUUAACCUCGGAAUUGCCUUUGUUACUGUCUGUCUUGAGUCCGGGAGAGGUGAGUGGAAUUCCUAGUGUAGAGGUGAAAUUCUUAGAUAUUAGGGAGAACACCAGUGGCGAAGGCGGCUCACUGGCCCGCAACUGACGAUCAUGUGCGAAAGCGUGGGGAGCAAACAGC